UCUUGAACCCUGUUAAGAUGUUUAUCAAUGACAAUGUGAGCACAGUGGGACAUAGAAGUUCAUUAGUGAUUCCAGUUUUGCCCUGACCUUGUGAUCUCACCCUGACCUUCUGCCUUGUGAUCUUUCGUCACCCUUGAAGCAUGUGAUCUCUGUGACCCACACCUUAUUUGUACACUCCCUCCCCUUUGAAAAUUGCUAAUAAAAACUUGCUGGUUUUACGGCUCAGGGGGCAUCACGGAACCUGCCGACAUGUGAUGUCUCCCCCGGACACCCAGCUUUAAAAUUUCUCUCUUGUACUCUUUCCCUUUAUUUCUAGACCGGCCAACACUUAGAGAAAUAGAAAAGAACCUAUGUGAAAUAUCGGGGGCUGGUUUCCCCUGAUAGUGAAGGAGACAGGUUAGAUACACUGGAGCUUCCACACAGGAGAGAGGGAAGGAGCUGGAGAAGAAGGAGCCACAGAUUUUGGAGUACUGCAAAAUGACUUUCCAAAUUGAUGAACCAUGGACUCCAAGCUGGAUAGACACAGAAAUGAAAAGAAGGGACUAAUAGGGAAUAAGACGUGUGAUCCAUGGCCCGAUGGCCCUGAUGGACGUGAAGAUCCACUGUUGUGGGAGGAGUGGAACACUAACACUGAAUGAUGGAGGCUGUGGUCAGAAACAGCUGAAUAUAACUGGCCAGUGCAGAAGAGCCUAUGAAGGUGGAAAAUGGAGGAAGGAGGACCCCAUGCUGGAGAAGUGAUGGAGAUUUGAAGCCUUGGAAGAUGGCGGCAAGGGAGAUGCCAGAGAUGAGACAAUGUUAAACAUCUGUAAUCUAACAGUCUUCUAUGGGAGUUUAUUACAUUUCCAUAUCCUAUGUUCACUUCUAGUGAAAAAUAAAAAUAAAAUCUUAAGCCCCCCACAGCUGACUAAAUGGAUCCCAUUGUGAAAGGAAAAUAUCUUGAGCCUCCAAAAUCACUAAGGAAAAUUCAAGCUGGAAACUUCUUAGGACAAACCUGCCUCCCAUUCUCUUCAAAGUUAUUCCUCUGCUCGAGGAGCUAGAUGCAUAUCUGAUUGCCGCCUUUGGAAAGGCUAACCAGAAACUCAAAAGAAUGAUACAGUUUGUUAUCACCUACCUGUGACCUGGAAGCUCCCUCCCUCCCCACUUGAGUCUUCCUGCUUUUGUUUCAAGCUGUCCUGCCUUUCCAGACCAAACCAAUGUACUUCUUACGUAUAUUGAUUGAUGUCUCACUCAUGUCUCCCUAAAUCGUAUAAAACCAAGCUGUGCCCCAACUACCCUGGGCAUGUGUCAUCAGGAUUUCAUGAAGCUGUGUCACGGGCGCAUUCCCCAACCUUGAAAAAAUAAACUUUCUAAAUUAACUGAGACCUGUCUCAGAUUUUCUGGGUUCACAUUGUUUUCGUCAAGGGGACUCCCCAAGUAACUUUGAAAACUGAGUUCUAGGCUGUGAGGGGAUGGGAGGUCAGAGGUCAGACGCACCUUGCUGCACACCUCCACCUCGCUAACCCCCUUAGGCUUUCUUCCCUAGGGGCUAAACAGAAACCAGCUCUUUCCUUUUUUUUUUUUCUUUUUUUUUAGAGACGAGUCUUGCUCUGUCACCCAGGCUGGAGUGCAGUGGUUCGAUUUUGGCUCACUGCAACCACCACCUCCCAGGUUCAAGCAAUUCUCCUGCCUCAGCUUCCCAAGUAACUGCAACUACAAGCACAUGCCACCAUGCCCGGCUAAUUUCUUUUGUAUUUUUAGUAGAGAUGGGGUUUCACCAUGUUGCCCGGGCUGGUCUUGAACUCCUGAGCUCAGGCAAUCUGUCCGCCUCAGCCUCCCAAAGUGCUAGGAUUACAGGCAUGAGCCACUGCACCCAGCCAAAACCAGCUCUUUCAAAAGACUCCAGUGCUGAUAUCAACAACUGCCUGAGGCUUCCCCACCCUUUUGCAGUUUCCACAUAACAAUUAACCAGCAUUCCCUCCUGAUAAGAGACAACACCCCGCCCGCCGACGCAGAGCGGUUCUGGCCAGUCUUCAGAGGCUGCACACAGAGAGCCUGCGUGUCCCUGCUUUGUCUUUCGAUGUAAAAGGCCUAACUGUCAUGCAUUGAAAUGUGAAGUCUCCAGCCCAAAGUGAACAUGGGACACAUGCUGCAUGCAUGUUAGCCUGCUACACAUGCAUGAUCCUCUUCAUGAAUAUUCAUAGCUCCUCCUGUAAUCUGUUGAAUAUGUAUACUUAGCCAACCUGCUCAACAUAAAUUCCUGUUCCCUUUACCCCUCCUUUGAAAUAUGUGUUUCCAGCUUCUGGCCCAAGGCUACGCUUUCCAGCCUGUCAGAAUGGCUGCCUGCAAGCAGCAACCCUUUAGGAGAAAGAAAGCUCUCCUUUCCAAAUUUAUAAAUGUCAUCAUACUUCAGUUUACAAUAGUAUUUAAUUUUUUGACCUUUAAGUUCUCCAAGGUCCUUCUCCAUUUUUAAGGCUUUCGAAAUUAACUGAUGAUUCUACUAAAAAGCUAAAAAUAGGUUUUUUGUUUCCAAAUAAUCAGAACAUAAUACAGUCAAAAGCACCAUAUAGAAAUAGUUCCCUGUUUCCAGCCAAUACGGCUGUGUCUCUGUUUUGAACAUUUGCCUCCAGAGUGUUGCUGAUGCAGUUCAAACAGAAAGCACUGAGAAAUAAAAUUUGCAAGUGGUUUCUGUUGAGAGUUUCUACUGUUUAUAAGUCUGCGAGAAUUAGUUACGUUACAGCAGGGAGUGAGAGAGAGAAGCAGCGGGUACCAAAACCUCGCUGAGCUCCUACCUGCCCUCCCCAUUUCUUGCCCGCCCCCCAUGGCUACCUGCCCCCUGCGAUGAACUCGAGACCUUGGAAUGAGAAACAGUUCAGAGUUGUCUGGUGUGUGCAUAUCACCUGUGGUCUAACUCAUCACCCUGAAAGAAACCAAAAUAUUUCACCCCAAAAUACCCUUCUUUGACAUAUUUUGAGAGGGCUGUUCAGAGGGCCUGCGAGCAUGGGCAGCCCUGCAAAGGUGUCUGGUGGGGGAGAUUUGCAUCUGAGGGAAAAUCAGCAGUGAUACAGUCAGGCUUAGAGUUCCUCCCUUGUCUGGAUCUAGAAAAGAUUAACUGAGAGUGACAUCUUUAAAGAGCUGAAAGAAACAUUUCCCAUCUAUUCUCUGUGACGGUUGCCACCUGCAAGGUUUCAUCUACAUAACAAGACCACCUUUGCAGACCAGGUCUCCUCUUCUCUCCCUCCCAUAACCUGUCUUGCCAUUAGAAACUGAUUUACCACCAUAACCUGUUUUUAGCCAUGCUCUGAGGCCCCAUUCUUUCUGUAACCUUGAGACGGCAUAAAGAGGUCAACCAUCUGGCCAUUUCUUUGAGUUCUUAUAUUUUGUAGGACUCCCAUAUAUAUUAAUAAAUUUGGAUGCCUUUUCUCCUAUUAAUAUGCCUUUUGUCAGUUGAUUUUUCAGUGAACCUUCAGCGGGUGAAGGAGAAGUUUUCCCUUGGUCCCUACAAUCUGUUUACCCUAAACCAGGCUGAUACAAAAAUUAAAUGAUGU
rnacentral:lncRNA from 1 species